rnacentral:rRNA from 1 species
CAGUCGCCGCGGUAAGACAGAGGAUGCAAGCGUUAUCCGGAAUGAUUGGGCGUAAAGCGUGCGUAGGUGGUUGUUUAAGUCUGUUGUGAAAGCCCUGGGCUCAACCUGGGAAUUGCAGUGGAUACUGGGCGACUAGAGUGUGGUAGAGGGUAGUGGAAUUCCCGGUGUAGCAGUGAAAUGCGUAGAGAUCGGGAGGAACAUCCAUGGCGAAGGCAGCUACCUGGACCAACACUGACACUGAGGCACGAAAGCGUGGGGAGCAAACAGGAUUAGAUACCCGUGUAGCCCUGUCUCUUAUACA